CCUACGGGUGGCAGCAGUGAGGAAUAUUGGUCAAUGGGCUUACGCCUGAACCAGCCAAGUCGCGUGAGGGAAGACUGCCCUAUGGGUUGUAAACCUCUUUUGCCGGGGAGCAAGCGUGCGUUCGUGAACGCGCGUCGAGAGUACCCGGAGAAAAAGCAUCGGCUAACUCCGUGCCAGCAGCCGCGGUAAUACGGAGGAUGCGAGCGUUAUCCGGUUUUAUUGGGUUUAAAGGGUGCGUAGGCGGGAUGCCAAGUCAGCGGUAAAAAUGCGGUGCUCAACGCCGUCGAGCCGUUGAAACUGGCGUUAUUGAGUGGGCGAGAAGUAUGCGGAAUGCGUGGUGUAGCGGUGAAAUGCAUAGAUAUCACGCAGAACUCCGAUUGCGAAGGCAGCAUACCGGCGCCCUACUGACGCUGAGGCACGAAAGCGUGGGUAUCGAACAGGAUUAGAUACCCGGGUAGUC
rnacentral:rRNA from 1 species